UUAGCUAACGGUUUUUUUUUCAUUAAUUGUAUAAUAGACUCCACGUAUUCAGUCGAUUGGAAGUCGUUUGUGAAUGUUUAUUAUUGGAGGAAAUACGGAAAAUAAAUUUAACUUUACGUCCCCUACAGUAAUCAUAAUUUAAAAAUCAUGGUUAUUUCUAUUGACAAUUAUCUUCAUUUAAUUGAGGAUGAUCAGUAUCUGUUGUUUUUGUUUCCAAACAUCCCAUAGAUCCCAUAGCAACAUCCGAACAAUUUGUUUACGAAUUAUAAAAAAAGUACAUGAACUAUUCUCCUACGCAGUAUUUUGGGUGGUUGACAAUGUAUGAAUAGAGGUAGACACUACGAUGUGUUGAUAUUCAAAAAUAUGCUUUCAAAUUAUCGACACCGCAUUAGAAAGUGCACUGGUGAAAAGAAUUUUAUAGCUGGAAAUUACUGGAAUGAAGUUUCAACCUCCAAUCGAACAACGUCGUUUUUAUUUCUUGAUAAAUUAAUUUCUCCCUAAAACUAAACUUUACAUAGUGCACUUUAAAAAAAAAAAACGAAGAGAAGAAAACAAAUAAGUUCCAUGAAAAAUUUUAAUUGCUUUGACAAUGUUUUACAUGGCAUCAUCCCAAAAAGCAGAAAACUAUUUCUGAUGAAAAACUUCUAAAGCUGUUCACAAUAAUUGUAAUCUAGUUAAUAAUCAACUAGAAUUAGUGUCUCAUAAUUCCCCUUUGAUUUUGUGUAAAUUGUUAUCAUGAUCCCCCACCCCGUUCUUUGUAAUAGUAUAUAUUGUUCAAACACUUUUUUAGUAAUCUUUUGUAUACUUUAGAUAAUAAUCGUUAUGACCGAAAUAGUAUUGUGGAGGCAAGUAAAAUUUUUCGUGAAACUUAUUUGUAAGUUAUGAAUAGAAUUUUAUGCUUGAAUAUCAUCGGUUUGCAAUUUCAACCCCUAAUCUAAAAACGUUGGUUUUAUUUCCCUAUAGGUUUCUCCCUUAUCAAACGCACUAAAAGUACUAAAACGUAUUAAAGUUAUCAGUAAAAUUUUAUAGUUGGAAAUUACCGGGAUGCACCUUCAACCCCCAAGUUAAAAACUUCGUUUUUAUUUCUUUUAAUAAUUUAAUCACUUAUUAAACGAGCUGAAUGUACCAAAAUAUAUUAAACUUAUUGUGAGACAUCAGCAAAACAUAUUUUAUAGUUCGAAAUUAUGCAUGAUCUUCAGCCCCUGUCUGAUUUAAAAAUGCAGUAUUUAUCUCUUGAUAAAUGACAUGUACCUAAAGUAGUACCCAAAUGUAAUAAAAUAGUCGUUGGUGGACAGAUAUUAUGUGGUUAAAACUUACUAGUGAAUAUUUUAAACCCUGAUAUUGAAAGCUAACUCUUCAAUAAGAAAGGAAUUCAAAACUGCUACUGUAGCCUAGUGCUCCGAAUACUUUGCAGUGAAGUGGGUGGCCUAUGUAAAGAAUGAAUAGUUUGCUAUUGGUGUUUAAAAUCACAGGUAUUUUAAAUUGAAGUUAUCAUGGUAACAAUGCCUGAAAUUACAUGAUGGCGCUGCAAUCUAGAUAAAGACCGAAAUGUUACACUGCGAGUCGAUUUUUUUUUAACAACUAAAUUUUUCGAUCUCAAGGAAAUAAUCUAUUUAUUUU